rnacentral:rRNA from 1 species
CGGCGAGUGAAGCGGGAAGAGCUCAAAUUUGAAAUCUUAAAGGGUUUCCCUUUACGAAUUGUAGUUUAAAGAAGUGUUUUCUGUUGAGGUUUUGGUAAAAGUUCUUUGGAAUAGGACAUCAUAGAGGGUGAGAAUCCCGUAUUUGACCUUUACUUUCAACUUUGUGAUACACUUUCAAAGAGUCGGAUUGUUUGGGAAUGCAGUCCAAAAUGGGUGGUAAAUUUCAUCUAAAGCUAAAUAUUGGCGAGAGACCGAUAGCGAACAAGUACCGUGAGGGAAAGAUGAAAAGAACUUUGAAAAGAGAGUUAAACAGUACGUGAAAUUGUCAAAAGGGAAGCGUUUGACACCAGUGUUGUUUUUCUGAAAAUCAAUUAAAGAACUGUUUAUGCUAAGUUGUUUAGACUUUAUCAGCUAACUGUUUAGUUUUGAGCUUUUCUUUAAUGCACUUUUCAGUUAACAAGUCAACAUCAAUUUCUUUUGCUGUAAAAAAGCUUGAGGAAGGUGGCUUGAGAUUCGUCUUAAGUGUUUAUAGCCUCUUGCCUAUGCAGUCGGAGAGAUUGAGGUCUGCAGCGUAGAUCCUUCGGGGCUAAAUGCAUUUGUGCUAAGUUAUAGCAUUUUAUAUACAACUUGUUGACUAUGAUUUGUCUUGUAGCUUACUCGCUUAUGUUAUUUUACCUACGCUUAGGAUGUUGACAAAAUGGUUUUAUACUACCCGCCU